rnacentral:rRNA from 1 species
CCUACGGGUGGCUGCAGUGGGGGAUAUUGCACAAUGGGGGGAACCCUGAUGCAGCGACGCCGCGUGGGUGAAGAAGCGCCUCGGCGCGUAAAGCCCUGUCAGCAGGGAAGAAAAUGACGGUACCUGAAGAAGAAGCCACGGCUAACUACGUGCCAGCAGCCGCGGUAAUACGUAGGGGCCAAGCGUUCGCCGGAUUUACUGGGUGGAAAGGGGGCGCAGACGGCGAUGCAAGCCAGGCGUGAAAGCCCGGGGCCCAACCCCGGGACUGCUCUUGGUACUGCGUGGCUGGAGUGCAGGAGGGGCGGGCGGAAUUCCAGGUGUAGCGGUGAAAUGCGUAGAUAUCAGGAGGAACACCGGUGGCGAAGGCGGCCUGCUGGACUGAGACUGACGUUGAGGCCCGAAAGCGUGGGGAGCAAACAGGAUUAGAUACCCGAGUAGUC